GCUGAGCUCAGUAGCGUGGGCUUGUAACUCAAGUGGGGGCAUUAACGUGGUGGAAUGUUGGGCUGUCUCUGAUGGUUGGGCUUGGUGGGCAAGUUUCUGGCCUGCCCUCUCCAAGCACAAAGUUGGACCACGGUGCCCAUUCGAAGGAAUGGGUGUCUUGAUUCCUAAAGUGGGGUGGACUGCGUGAGGCUGGUUUCACAGAGCAACGAACAGCUCCUGCUUUGUGCAGUGGAAGGAUAACAAGUCGGUGCCUUUCAAGUCCAGUAACGCUUGAUGGGCUGCUCCGAUUAUAGACCACCACUUUU
rnacentral:SRP_RNA from 1 species